AGAGUUUGAUCCUGGCUCAGGAUGAACGCUAGCUACAGGCUUAACACAUGCAAGUCGAGGGGCAGCAUUUCAGUUUGCUUGCAAACUGGAGAUGGCGACCGGCGCACGGGUGAGUAACACGUAUCCAACCUGCCGAUAACUCGGGGAUAGCCUUUCGAAAGAAAGAUUAAUACCCGAUGGUAUAAUCAGACCGCAUGGUCUUGUUGUUAAAGAAUUUCGGUUAUCGAUGGGGAUGCGUUCCAUUAGGCAGUUGGUGAGGUAACGGCUCACCAAACCUUCGAUGGAUAGGGGUUCUGAGAGGAAGGUCCCCCACAUUGGAACUGAGACACGGUCCAAACUCCUACGGGAGGCAGCAGUGAGGAAUAUUGGUCAAUGGGCGCAGGCCUGAACCAGCCAAGUAGCGUGAAGGAUGACUGCCCUAUGGGUUGUAAACUUCUUUUAUAUGGGAAUAAAGUUUUCCACGUGUGGAAUUUUGUAUGUACCAUAUGAAUAAGGAUCGGCUAACUCCGUGCCAGCAGCCGCGGUAAUACGGAGGAUCCGAGCGUUAUCCGGAUUUAUUGGGUUUAAAGGGAGCGUAGGUGGACAGUUAAGUCAGUUGUGAAAGUUUGCGGCUCAACCGUAAAAUUGCAGUUGAUACUGGCUGUCUUGAGUACAGUAGAGGUGGGCGGAAUUCGUGGUGUAGCGGUGAAAUGCUUAGAUAUCACGAAGAACUCCGAUUGCGAAGGCAGCUCACUGGACUGCAACUGACACUGAUGCUCGAAAGUGUGGGUAUCAAACAGGAUUAGAUACCCUGGUAGUCCACACAGUAAACGAUGAAUACUCGCUGUUUGCGAUAUACAGUAAGCGGCCAAGCGAAAGCAUUAAGUAUUCCACCUGGGGAGUACGCCGGCAACGGUGAAACUCAAAGGAAUUGACGGGGGCCCGCACAAGCGGAGGAACAUGUGGUUUAAUUCGAUGAUACGCGAGGAACCUUACCCGGGCUUAAAUUGCAUUUGAAUAUAUUGGAAACAGUAUAGCCGUAAGGCAAAUGUGAAGGUGCUGCAUGGUUGUCGUCAGCUCGUGCCGUGAGGUGUCGGCUUAAGUGCCAUAACGAGCGCAACCCUUAUCUUUAGUUACUAACAGGUCAUGCUGAGGACUCUAGAGAGACUGCCGUCGUAAGAUGUGAGGAAGGUGGGGAUGACGUCAAAUCAGCACGGCCCUUACGUCCGGGGCCACACACGUGUUACAAUGGGGGGUACAGAAGGCAGCUACCUGGUGACAGGAUGCUAAUCCCAAAAGCCUCUCUCAGUUCGGAUCGAAGUCUGCAACCCGACUUCGUGAAGCUGGAUUCGCUAGUAAUCGCGCAUCAGCCAUGGCGCGGUGAAUACGUUCCCGGGCCUUGCACACACCGCCC
rnacentral:rRNA from 1 species